UCUUUGAUUCCUCUUUGAAUUUUGUGUUUGAUUGAGAAUGGAACUCUCUAAAUGAGGGGCGUGGCUCUUGGGAUUGAUCUUGUAGUGUUUGAAGUGGGUUUGGACUUCUUUCCUUUGAAUUUGGAUUUUCUGCUCUUUUCCCGCCUCUGCUGUAUUUUCUGCUAUCAAAGUGAUUUGGGCAAAUCACUUGCUCAUUUUGCCCCAAUCGCUUCCUGGGGUUCAGUUCAGUUUCUGUCUUUGUCUCUGCGAGUGAUUUGGCCAGUUUCUGCGAGUGAUUUGGGCAAAUCACUUUGACCCAAUCACUUUUCCAGCUUUUUCUUUACUUUUUCUCUAACUUUCCAAUUUCUUCCUUUUCUAUAAAAACAUAUCAAAAACACAAAUUAAGCUAGAAAAAUGUGUAAAUAAACAGUAGGAAAUAUAAUAAAAAUGUGGCUAAAUUAUGCUUGAUCA
rnacentral:lncRNA from 1 species